rnacentral:rRNA from 1 species
CGGCCGCGUCGACAUCAAUUGGAGGGCAAGUCUGGUGCCAGCAGCCGCGGUAAUUCCAGCUCCAAUAGCGUAUAUUAAAGUUGUUGCAGUUAAAAGCUCGUAGUUGGAUUUCUGGGAGGGUGCCAAUGUCCGCAUGUUGCGUGUGCAGCGGCGCCCUUCCAUCCUUCUGUUAACGUUUCUGGUAUUCAGUUACUGGACUCGGGCUCAGAUACUUUACCUUGAGAAAUUAGAGUGUUCCAGGCAGGCUUGCGCCGGAAUACAUUAGCAUGGAAUAAUAGAAUAGGACUUUAGUCUCCUUUGUUAGUUUGAGGGACUGAAGUAAUGAUUAAUAGGGAUAGUUGGGGCAUUAGUAUUUAAUUGUCAGAGGUGAAAUUCUCGGAUUUGUUAAAGACUAACUUAUGCGAAAGCAUUUGCCAAGGAUGUUUUCAUUAAUCAAGAACGAAAGUUAGGGAUCAAAGACGAUCAGAUACCGUCGUAGUCUUAACCAUAAACUAUGCCGACUAGGGAUCGGAGGCUCGUUUAUCAGCCUUCGGCACCUUA